UACGUAGGGUGCGAGCGUUAAUCGGAUUUACUGGGCGUAAAGCGUGCGCAGGCGGCCCGUUAAGACAGGUGUGAAAUCCCUGGGCUCAACCUAGGAAUUGCGCUUGUGACUGGCGGGCUCGAGUACGGUAGAGGGAAGUGGAAUUCCUGGUGUAGCAGUGAAAUGCGUAGAGAUCAGGAGGAACACCGAUGGCGAAGGCAGCCCCCUGGGCCUGUACUGACGCUCAUGCACGAAAGCGUGGGGAGCAAACAGG
rnacentral:rRNA from 1 species